AGAGUUUGAUUAUGGCUCAGGAUGAACGCUAGCGACAGGCUAACACAUGCAAGUCGAGGGGCAGCACGGGAGUAGCAAUACAACUGGUGGCGACCGGCGCACGGGUGAGUAACGCGUAUGCAACCUACCUAUCAGAGGGGAAUAACCCGGCGAAAGUCGGACUAAUACCGCAUAAAACAGGGGCACCGCAUGGUGAUAUUUGUUAAAGAAAUUCGCUGAUAGAUGGGCAUGCGUUCCAUUAGGUAGUUGGUGAGGUAACGGCUCACCAAGCCGACGAUGGAUAGGGGAACUGAGAGGUUGGUCCCCCACACUGGUACUGAGACACGGACCAGACUCCUACGGGAGGCAGCAGUGAGGAAUAUUGGUCAAUGGGCGAGAGCCUGAACCAGCCAAAGUCGCGUGAAGGAAGAAGGAUCUAUGGUUCGUAAACUUCUUUUGCAGGGGAAUAAAGUGCGGGACGUGUCCUGUUUUGUAUGUACCCUGAGAAUAAGGAUCGGCUAACUCCGUGCCAGCCGCCGC
rnacentral:rRNA from 1 species